UAGUGAGAUGAACAUCGGCGCUACUUUAUCUCUUUGACCUGGAAUUAGAAAAUGGCGGCUGUCCACCAGAUGCGCUCAAAUACAGACAAAUAAAUACAGUACAUACGGACGUUUAAAAGCUGAUAGUUUCCUAAAAAAAAGUACAACCGACUUUCUUUUUUGGGUUAAAAGAAAAGGUUAAAUAUAUGACUAAACUGUCUGCAUGUUUGUUUACUGUCUGUGUGUGUGCGCGCGCGCAUGCGCGAGUACUGUGGAGCGAGUGAAGCGUGUUGGUGAGAGCGUGAAAGACAGGGUUUUUUUUCAGUUUCUUUCUCUUACUUUCCCCCUCUACGUGUUAGAAUUAUAACAAAGUUAGAAAGUCCCGUAUAUAUUAGGCCGCUCGCGGCUUUUCUCGUGUCAUGACGUCUGUACACGGACUCGCACACCUCCCGGUGCAAUGGCUGCAGGUGUGUGCCUGAGCUCGGCGUAAGCGUGGAGGAACUGCUCGUGGCGGUAGGAGAGGUACUUUGAUAAUAUCCUCUCAGCAUCGCGAAUGAAAAACGCGAUCGUAGUGCUUUUGAAAACAGAACAGCUUGUUAGUCAGUUGACCGAGAACGGAGUAUGGGUUAGAGGAAGUUAUGUGACCGUGACUCCUUUAGCGACUCCGGCCACAAAAACCACCAUUUCAAAUGUACCACCUUUUAUUCCAAACGACGUCAUUCUUAAGGAACUGGCACGAUACAGGAAAACCGCAAGUCCCAUCAGAAUGAUUCCACUAGGAUGCAAAAAUACAGCAUUAAAACACGCCCUCUCAUUUAGACGGCAGGUGUUCGUGUUUCUGACUUCACCUGAGCGCGUGUUAGAGAUCUCUUUCUGCAUCAGUCACGGAGAGCGCUCUUACAUGCUGUAUGCAAGUACCAACAAUUUUAAGUGUUUUGAAUGUGGUGAUUUAGGACACAAAGUGUCCUUCUGUCCACUUAAAAAAGGUGGACAAUGAUCAGCAGUUACAUGAUGAUACAGCUGAAAACGGAUCAUCUAACAAUAACAGUAACCGUGAUACUACAGAGGUUACAGCAACGCAGCAAACAAAGGUGAUGAAGAGACCAGCAGAAAGGCCUUCCCAGGAGGCAAAGGGGCAGAGGAGGAGCAAAGAGGGAGACUCGGCCGGUGAGGCUGACCCUGCAGAAGUCGUGCAAGCGUGGCCACUCAUUAUAGGUGUGCCUGCAUGUGAGAGCUCAAGGCUGUUACUCCCCUUAAUAUUCCAAGAUCAGUAAUACACCUGGGAGCAUCUUCCUCAGGGGCUGUGGACUCCCCUGCGGUUUACUCCUCUGUGGUCAGAGACUCCCUCUCACGCUCCCAAGGCCGACAUGACAUGAUUGCGGUCAUCCUCCGCCCCAUACCACACAACAAAUGUUAAGCUUCCUGGACGUUAUCAGGUAUGGUCUUCAGUGUAUUGCUCUCUUCAUGACAAAAUCCUGAGAGCUGGGUGUUCUAAGGAAAAGACUUAUGCUCUGCACCUGUACUAUGGCUGGCAAACUACAACAGACUUUUGCUUAUAUGUGACUGAGAGAGGCGGCGCCGAUGCAGGUUGCCAGCUCAGGAGUAUGAGGGCGCUUGCUGGUCUUUAGUUUAUUUAUCGAAAACAUUGGAUUUGGUGGCACAAGGAUUGUCAGCACGUUUGCGUGCCAUGGCUGGAACUGAUGUCUUAGUGCAGAUCACUGGGAAAAUUGCUCUCUCACACAUUGAUCUUACACUCAUCACACCAGGUUACUUCCAUUUUUAUUAACAUCCGCAUACAACACAUGACGGCUCAACAAAGAACAGGAUAUGAAUUUAUUCUUUGUGCCACCCAAAAUGUAACUAUUAAACCUAUUAGUGUGCCUAAUACACCAACUGUAGUGUUGUAUUGCCUAAUUAAUUCUGUGGAGCCAAUGACUGAGAACACUCACAAUUGCCCAGCCGAAAUUCAUAUUUCCUCGAGCUUAAAUUUGACCUUUUUAGAUGUUCUAUCUGAAAGAUUUUGUGUCUGAAAUUUCACAAACAUUAUGAGCACCCUGCUCUGCCCAGUUGGCUGAAUUAGAAGCUAUCACUACAGAGUGCAAACAGGUUAAUUUCAGAUCCGCAUGGUUUUAACCAGUGCGCGAGGGGGAAGUUAUGGGAAAGAUAAAACAGCAAGAGUACUGGUCUCUGUACUUACAGGCAGUGAUGGAUACUUUUUUUUUCUGGGUGUGAUAUUUAUGCUCAAAACAAUGUCAGAAAGGGAAAAUCAGUAUCAAUAGGGCACAUAUCAAUUCCAGAAGGGCCGUUUAAGCACUUGGUGAGAGACAGGUUUAGCAGAUGCAGGGAGGCAAUGCCAUCAGCAGACUAAACUGCUGGUACAGUAAUUAAAUUUUUGAGCCGUAAUUCCUAGAUCUGGCAUACCAUCUCAGAUUAGCUCUGGCAAUGGCUCAGCAUUUGUUUAAAAAACAGUGUUACAUUAACUGUGAAUAAAUUAAAAUUGUGAUGUGUUUAUCACACUCAGUCACAGGGAAUAGUGGGAAAGGUAAGUGGUACCUUUAAGGCUAAGCUUAACGCAAUUUGUGCUGACGCUAAACUCGUUUCGGUAGAUGCUCUACCUCUUGCACUCAUGGCCUAUCGCAUGCAGACUAACAGAAAUAUGCAUCUAACACCGCAUGAAAUGCUUAUGGGUUGACCCAUGUCUGUGUCAUAUCUGAGAGGUCCUUAUGAAGGACUGCUGCUGGAGUAAUUGCAGAUGGAACUAAGAGCAUAUAUGCGAUAACUUACUGCUAUGUAUGAAGCUAUCUAUUCACAGGACCAGAGCUGGGGACCGAGAGAGGAGACAGUCCAGUGACUCCUGGAGAACUUGUGUACCUAGGGGUGUUCCAGCCCAGAAGGGAAGGGUGAGUGAAAGUGAGCACCUAGAUUAAAACCUAGGAGAAAGGAGGAUCAGGUGAUCGAAGGGGACGAUCCAAUGGUUGACAUUGCAGAAGAAAGAACAAGCCAAGACCUGAGAGAGGGUUUAAAUGAAGGUAAAGGAGAAUGGCAGUCUCAGGCGAUGGCAAAGAAGGUGGUCUGUUACUGGUCAUACCAACAGAGCAGGAGGGAAUAAGGGCUCCUGCUGCGGUUCUGACGAGCCUGAUACUCCUGCCGAAGGAGAAAGAGGCCCAAGCAGACGUCCCUUCCAGGACAACCUUUCCGCAAUUGACUCUUAAGCCCUUGACUAGUCUCUAGAACAGUACUGAACUAGAGCUGAAUGAGACAAUCAGUGAGCCAGAUUGAAUCUCUGAUCGGCUGCAACAGGAUGGAACAGAUUCCAGUUCCUCAAGUGAGGACGGAGAAGUUUGAUGAGCCAUGCCCUGGGUGUAAGUACUAGCUUGACCUCUCCACAAGGGUGGCCCCCUGCGAUAAGCAAAGUAUCUGGGUCGAAGACAAACAUUGCUAACACAUCCCCUGAGAAAGGAUGUGAUGGAUUUUGUAUUUUUUGCUUUUUCCAUUUUUCUAUUUUGGAAUUUUUACAUUUUCUAUUACAAUAUAAUCAAUUGUGAUUAAAGAGACAGGGUGGUCACUGUCUGAUUUGUCUUUGUAAUCAAACUGAAAAUCUAACAAUUUGGUGUCAGACGUGCGAUUACUCUGGACCACGGUAAGUGUUUUUUCUUUCUUCCCUGAUGCGGUGUAUUCCGAACCCAUAAUUAUAAAUGAGAUAAAUGAGUGAUUGUCUGUCGUUAAUAAUCUGUACUCUGGUCUAUGUUCCUCUGUAACGUCAUGCCUGCUUAAUAAUUGUAUUUUAUAUUACGUAGAAUAAUUUGCAACUGUCUGUGUGGUUUGCCUACGAGUGUUUAUAUUUAGAGUAUUAUUGUGUUAUUGUGUGUGUUGUAUUCCAAGUUAUGGGUGGGUCUCCGUCCAGCCUGGCUCUUCCGUGUCAUUAUUGUAAGAAACCUGGCCACUGGGCUCGUUACUGUCGUGCUAAAAAAACGAGAUCGGCAGCGAGGAAGAGGUCAAGGUGGUCGUGGUUUUAUAGUAAGAGGUGUCCUGCAGUAUUUUCCUGCACAAUCUGGCCCAUAUUAUCAGCCUGGUCAGUAUCAGCCCGCUCCUCAUAUGUAUGGCCAACCAUCUUAUUAUCACAAUCAAUAGGGAUGCCCACAGAGCUCUUGCGACCCAGUGUGCCGAUCAUACUUAAUCGUAGCUUUUAAUUCAUUUAAUAUUGAUUUUAAUUCCGUGUGUUUCCCUGUUUGUAAACUGAAUGAAAGUGUUUUGAAUUCCAUGAUGACGUUAAUUUAAAGACAGCAAGGGAGAGAGUGCGCGCGAGAGAGGGAGAGACGUGUGUGCUCUGUUGUUGCUCUCGCGGUCAGAACGGUGCACUGAUACGUCACUUUAACGCAAACGAAAGACUUUCUUUUUAUUGCCAUUGUAUAUAAUAUUCAGGGACUGUUAUGAAUAUUAGUACAAAUUAUUAUAACGUUUGGAUGAAUUAAUUUUCAUGCAUGAAUUCGUAAACAUGCCGGAGUGUCCUUUUAAUUUUGCAUUCUUGGG